AAUUUGCACCAAAGAGUGAGUAUGGCCGUUUAGAAAAUAUCGGCAGACAAUAUUUCCCACAAUGCAUUGCAGGUCACACUUGGUUGAGUUUUGACUGUAAAUAGUUGGAUAUGGUGUGGUUUAGGUCUAAUUUUGGAGCUUUUAACGUAGGAUUUCCACUUUGAGUUGGCAAUUAAAGAAGUUAUUCAUAUAUCAAGGAAGAGUAUGAGAAAUUUUAGCUUCCAGAUCAGCCGCGAUUUUAUAAUAUAGACAGUUGAACUCGAAGGAAGCUGUUUUCGAUGCUGAUUAAAUCACAAAAUGGCGACAACUUCAGUGAACGUCAGUUUAGAUGAUAUAGACCUGUCAAGUCUCAGGGACCCUGCAGGGAUAUUUGAUCUGAUAGAAGUGGUGGGAAAUGGCACGUAUGGCCAAGUAUACAAGGGUCGACACACGAAGACCGGACAGCUAGCGGCCAUUAAGGUUAUGAAUGUAACUGAGGAGGAAGAGGAAGAGAUAAAAUUGGAAAUCAACGUGCUCAAAAAAUAUUCCCAUCAUCGGAACAUUGCAACUUACUAUGGUGCUUUCAUCAAGAAGGGUCCGCCUGGAAAAGAUGACCAGUUGUGGCUUGUCAUGGAGUUUUGUGGUGCUGGUUCUGUUACCGAUCUAGUCAAAGCUACAAAGGGAAGCUGUUUGAAAGAAGAAUGGAUAGCCUACAUCUGUAGAGAGAUACUGCGAGGUCUAGCACAUCUGCAUGGAAACCGAGUCAUUCACCGUGACAUCAAGGGCCAGAAUGUUCUACUAACAGACAACGCAGAAGUCAAACUAGUUGAUUUUGGAGUUAGUGCCCAGUUAGAUAAAACCAUUGGUAGAAGAAAUACAUUUAUAGGAACUCCAUAUUGGAUGGCGCCAGAAGUGAUUGCCUGUGACGAAAACACAGAUGCUACUUAUGAUAAUAGGAGUGAUCUGUGGUCCCUGGGAAUAACUGCAAUAGAAAUGUCUGAAGGGAAGCCUCCUCUCUGUGAUAUGCAUCCAAUGCGAGCCUUGUUUCUCAUCCCGCGGAACCCGCCGCCUCGGCUGAAGAAUCCCACCAAGUGGUCAAGUAAAUUUCAUAAUUUUGUCGAGACGUGUCUGAUCAAAGAUUACACGCAGCGACCGAACACAGAACAACUGCUGAAGCAUCCAUUCAUUCGCGACCAGCCGACCGAGCGCCAGGUCCGCAUUCAGCUCAAAGACCACAUCGACAGACACAAAAAGAACAGAAAAGGCGAUGACCAUGACACGGAGUACGAGUGGGAAGGAAGCGACAACGAUGAAGAUGAAGAAACUGUGCCAGGAGAGCCAAGCUCUAUCUUACAAAUCCCUGGCGAGUCAACCCUCAAGCGAAACUUCCAGCAGAUCCAGGAGCGAGAGUCGAGGAGCAGCAACCAGGCGCGGCACGCUCAACCGAGGCAGCAGGAGAGACAGCGGCAUCACCACCCCCGGCCGCAGUCGUCACACCAGCAACAACCACAACAACCACAUCGGCCUCCUUCUAGUCACUACAACCCACAUGCCAAUGCACAAGAUCAAAUACCGAAACAGUUCCCUGUACAGUCCAGGCUCAUAGUGAUGCCUGACCCGAAGAACCCCAGUUCUGGAGCGGGUCACCCCAUGCAGUCUGAUCAACGAGCCCCCGGAAUGUUCGGAGGGGUUAAUAAACCCGAGGACCUGGAGAGAUUAGCUGCUCACCUCACGAAGAUGGGGGCGGAGGAGCGCCAAGCACGCACUGUGAUCAUGGAGGAUGAAAACAGUGACGACGAUGACGAAGAUGAUGAUGAAAUCAAUCGUGAUGGAACUCUUCCAGCCUCCGAACCCGCCAGACCUUUACCACCUCAGCAUAUGGUCUCUAGCUACUCACAUCCUUCCGGGCAGUUUACAGACGACACGUUAGAAACAAUGUCCUCCAUGGUAAUACAUGAAGACGCACCCCCAGCACAGGUUCACGGCAAUGCCAACUUUGCCAAAUUGAAUGAUGACGACGGAGAAAAUACUCUAGUUGCCAGAAGGAAUAAGUCUGACCCAGCGUUUCAGGAAGCGGAGAGGUACAAGGACCGUCGUAUCGACCGCGAGCCGGCGCGGAACAGCGCCAAGCCCCCACUACAGCACAUACACCGUACACAGUCUGGGUCCUCCAACCUGUCAGCACCAGGCGCUUUAGGUGUGCGGUCUCCACGACACAGCGCCAGCAGCAGCGUGCUGCCCGACUUGCUUCCUCCACACACCCCACCACAGUCGAGAUCCCCCCCAACGCCACAGCGGCCCCAGGACAAGACCACGUCAGAUGAGUAUCGACAGGCUGUCAGCAAACAACCGUCGAUGCGGCAUCAGCGUUCAUUCUCGGCGUUUGGUUUCGGCGCCGCCAGCGGAACAACGGUAGACUCGAUAUCCCAGCAGUCUCGGCGCGGGUCACAGAUCAACGUGAAUGUGACGCCCUCACAGACGACGGAGACGACGGGAGACACGCCGGAGAUUCGCAAAUACAAGAAACGAUUCGGAUCCGACAUCUUGUGCGCGGCUUUGUGGGGCGUGAACUUGCUGAUUGGUACAGAAAAUGGUCUCAUGUUGUUAGAUCGGAGCGGUCAAGGGAAAGUGUACACGCUGAUCUCGCGGCGGAGGUUCCAGCAGAUGGAGGUGCUGGAGGGUCAGAACAUCCUGGUGACGAUCUCCGGCAAGAAGAGCAAGAUCCGAGUCUACUACCUGUCCUGGCUGAAGAGCAAGAUCUUGAAGAACGAAGGCAAUGACAAGAAAAAUGGAUGGGUGAAUGUUGGUGAAUUGGAGGGCUGUGUGCAUUUUAAAAUAGUGAAGUACGAAAGAAUCAAGUUUCUGGUGAUAGCGUUACAAGACAGUAUUGAGAUCUAUGCAUGGGCUCCCAAACCCUACCACAAGUUCAUGGCCUUCAAGUCUUUUCCCGAGCUGGCUCACAAACCGCUACUAGUUGAUCUCACGGUAGAAGAAGGACUGAGGUUAAAGGUCAUCUACGGCUCUAAUAUGGGAUUUCACGCCAUUGACCUCGACACGUCAUCAAACUUCGAUUUAUACAUUCCUUCACAUUUACACGUGGAUGACGGCACUUCCACUCUGCGCAGUGGUAGUGUCGCCUUCUAUGUUAACCAGAGUCAAGGUCCAAUCAGCCCACACACGAUAGUUAUUCUGCCAAACACAAAUGGUCUGCAGCUGUUGCUAUGUUACGACAACGAGGGUGUGUACGUGGACACGAAUGGGAAGAUCACGAAGAACGUGGUGCUACAGUGGGGAGAGCUGCCCACCUCCCCUACAUCAGCACGGGUCAGAUAAUGGGGUGGGGUAACAAGGCGAUCGAGAUCCGCUCUGCCGAGACUGGUCACCUGGACGGAGUUUUCAUGCACAAGAAGGCGCAGAAACUCAAAUUCUUGUGUGAAAGAAACGACAAGGUGUUCUUCUCGUCGGUGCGGUCCGGGUCGUCGUGUCAGAUUUACUUCAUGACGCUGAGCAAGCCGGGCCUCGCCAACUGGUGAUGACAUCCAUCGCCGUGACGACAUCUGUCGUCAUGACACUCACACUCUUAACGCUUUAUUAUCGGCCUGUGAUCUUACAGUGCUGCAGGAAUAAAACAAAAAAACUGCAGUCGAGCUGUCGUCUUAAUACUCUCAUCCCAGUAUGAUGUGAAAACAUUCGUGUCGUCACUUCAUCCCAGUAUGAUGUGAACACAUUCGUGUCGUCACUUCAUCCCAGUAUGAUGUGAACACAUUCGUGUCGUCACUUGCCACAGUAUAUCAGCAUGAAAUCACUGGACCGCCUUUUUCUCAGGCGGCUGGUGCGAUAAACAUUAUAAUCAUUGAGAUGAUGUCAGAAAUGCCAUAAAGACUUGCUUUUUUUAAACUAUCAGCAUUAAACCAUUGCAUGAUCUGAACAUGAUGGCUUGCUUCAGGGUACAUCACUAAUUAAAAAGGAAAUGAUCUGAACAGAUUCAUGUCUUCACUUGCCCUUGUGUACUGACGUGAUGCAAUAGUUUCAGGUGGCUGGUGUAAUAAACAUUAUAAUUAUUGAGAUGUCAGAAAUGCCAUAAAGAAUUUCUUUUUUUGUUCAUAUCGGCAUGAAACCAUUGGAUGACAGCAACACGAUGACUUGCUUCAGGGUACAUCAUAAUUACAUCAAAUUAUCUGAACACAUACAUGUCACUUGUCGUCAUAUCUCGGCAUGAAACCAUUGGAUGACAGCAACACGAUGACUUGCUUCAGGGUACAUCAUAAUUACAUCAAAUUAUCUGAACACAUACAUGUCACUUGUCGUCAUAUCUCGGCAUGAAACCAUUGGAUGACCUGCAACAUGAUGGCUGGCAUCAGGGUACAUCAUAAUUACAUCAAAUGAUCUGAACACAUACAUGUCACUUGUCGUAUCUCGGCAUGAAACCAUUGGAUGACCUGCAACAUGAUGGCUGGCAUCAGGGUACAUCAUAAUUAAGCUACAAAUUAUCUGAACACACGUCAUCACUUGCCGUUAUAUAUCGACAUGAAACUAUUGCAUCACCUUUUCGGAUAGCUGAUUCAACAGACAUCAUAAUUAAGGUGACAGAAAUGUCAUAGUGACUUGAUUUUCUUUGUUUGCAUAAAAACCAUGGGAAUUACCUUUUCGUGAUGGCUAACUUCAGCAGACAUUGUAAUCGAGAUGCCAAAAAUACCGGAGUGACUUGGCUUUUUUUCAUAUCGGCAUGAAACCAUUGGAUCACAUUUUUCAUGACAGCUAACUGCUGUAGACAUCAUCAUAGUUAAGAUGGUGAGAGAAAAAAACGGUUCUUGCCCUCAUAUGCACAUGUAUAUAUCAGCGUGAAGUCAUAGUUUCGUGACAGUUGAUUCCAGCAGACAUUAUAAUGAAGAUUCAGUUGGAAAUACCAUAAUGACUUUCUUAUUUUACAUCGGCAUGAAACCAUUGGGUCACCUUUUUUUCGUGAAAGCUAGUUUCAGCAGACAUCCUGAUUAAGGUGUCGAAAAUAACACAAGGCUCCAUACCGUACUGUUCUGUACACAAUACUGUAUGGACUCGUAUUUUUAUAGUGGAAUGAAACCAUUGUGUCAUCUUUUUGUUACAGCUAGCGUGAACAGAUAUCGUAAUUAAGAUAUGAGAAAUACUUGCUUGUAUCUAAAAGCAUGAAACCAGUGCCAGCAGUAGAUCACCUUUCCGGGUUGGAAAUAUCAUAAUGACUUGCUUUUAGUACACCAGCAUGAAACCAGUGGAUCACCCUUUUGUUAAUCAUAAUUAAGAUGCCAGAAAUACCAUAGGACUCUUUAAGAAAUCAACACAAUCAAGAGUCAGAUAGUCAUUGUCUAAUUUUUUAUUUGUGUGUAUAAAAGCUGGGUGUGAUCGUCUUAUUUUCAUAUCUAGUUACAAGAGACAUGAAAAUAAUUUGUUUUUAAAUUAUCACAUACUCUUUUUAAAAAAACCUGUACCACAGUUAUGCAGCCAUUUCUGUUCUCUUUCUUGUCUGGCAAAGAUGAAAACAUUACUUGAUUGGUAAGACUCGAUGGAGUCAUCUUUAGAUAGCUAACAUCGAGGGACAUUGUUAUAAAGGUAAUGGAAUUACCAUGAUGUUCUAACCAUACCAGGAUCCACAGUUAAACAACUAUUUUUUUUUUUUUCACUGCUAAGGGUUUGUCAGGAUUGAAAUGCUCCAUAAUAACAGCUUGUAAUUAGAAGGCUGAGAAAGACCCAAAUCUGGACUUGAAAGUAAAAGUAUUAUAAACACAGGCCUUGAUCUGUUGACGUCUUCCCAGUUCAGAAACGGUCCAGACAUUUGAUCUGUUGACGUGUUCCCAGUUCAGAAACGGUCCAGACAUUUGAUCUGUUGACGUCUGCCCAGUUCAGGACCGGUCCAGACACUUGAUAUGUUGACGUCUGCCCAGUUCAGAAACAGUCCAGACACUUGAUCUGUUGACGUCUGCCCAGUUCAGGACCGGUCCAGACACUUGAUCUGUUGACGUCUGCCAAGUUCAGGAACAGUCCAGACACUUGAUCUGUUGUCGUCUACUCAGUUCAGGACCGGUCCAGACACUUGAUCUGUUGACGUCUGCCAAGUUCAGAAACAGUCCAGACACUUGAUCUGUUGACGUCUGCCCAGUUCAGGACCGGUCCAGACACUUGAUCUGUUGACGUCUGCCAAGUUCAGAAACAGUCCAGACACUUGAUCUGUUGACUGUCAUGUAGUUCCUUAAAGCACCAGAAAGUAUCUUAAAAACUUAAGGUAAAAUAUGUUUGUGAGAUAAUUAAUUUUUAAGUUGUCCAGUUCAGUCAAGUCAUGAGUUUCUUGUAGCAUCAAAAGUUUGAAAUGCAUUAUCUUAAAAAGAUUUUUUUUUUUUUGUCUCAACCUUUGAGGUGAUGUAACAAACACUGGAUUAAAAAUACUCUUUUUUAAGUCUGCCUUGUCCCUGGACCACUACACAUUCAAUUGCAUCAUUUAGUGCUGUGUUUGUAUUAGAUAUAUUUUAUAACAUUUCAUGCUUACCUAGGGGUUACUGGUGAGGAAUUGUUUAGAAAAAGAACAAAAGUACUUUUGUUAACACUUUCUGUACAUUUUUUAUUAUUAUUAAUAAAAGUUUUUUUUUUUUAUAUAGAUUGUGUUUUAUUUGUAAAGUAAUAUUUGUGUUGUGUAAUUGGUACACUUAUACAGUGGGGGGGGGGGGGGGGGGUUCUAUUGUUUCUGUUUUACAAAUUCCUUUAACAUGUCUUAUGCCCCUUGCCACUGACUUUUUAUAGGGAUCCUGUGUUUAAAAAAAGAAAGAAAAAAGAUUGUUGUUCUUUUGUGCAAAUCACAAUUUUGGGGGGUUCAGUGCUGGAACAGCCCCUGGUGAACUGAUUUGGGGUUUUCCUGUUCCAUUUGAUUUUCCAUAGGGCUUAAGAUUCACAAAUUUGAAUAAAACAGAUUUUGGUGGGUGGUGGUGUCUGUUUUGAGCACAGUGAGGUCUUUUCGUUAUCACAGUAGUAAUAUAUACAGCUGCUGUGAGUUGUGUGUAUUCAGAAAUGAAUUUCAACUUAUUUUUAAUCUUCAUUAAAACUUAACAAGUCAGUGGUUUUGGGGAACUCUUUUUAUUAUUUAGUUUACCUCUUUUAUUUUAUACAAUUUUUAUAACUUGUGUCUUAUGAUUUUUAAAACAAAUCUAUAUGAAUGUAAUUUUUUAUUUUCCCUCACCCCAGAAGAAAUCUAGGAGGCCAUUUGGCCUCUUAGUAACUCACCCGUUGCAAUGUAUUCAAUGCAAUAUGAUUUUUUAACGGUAGAUUGACUGUGUAUUUGGCAAUAGCCCACUUGUAAAAUAUGACCUUUUUCUUUUUAACUUGCAUGUUAUUGAAUUUGCUUAUUACAUUGCAGCCCCUGUUUUUAUGAUUUUCAUGUUUGUAGCUGUGAUUUGAUCUCGUUCAUUUAUUUGUUUAUUUUAAUAUUUUAGUUUUGCGCUUUUCCAGAAAUGAUCACAUGUGAUGGGGAGUUUCAGGGUGGGGGGGGGGGUGAAGGUUGUGAGCAAGGCAACCAUUGUUUUAAGUGUCAUGUCUGCUUAAAUGGGUGGGGUUUUGGGGGUAUAUGAUAUUUUAAUUUUUUUUAGCUUGGUUGAUUGAGUGCUCACUUGAUGUGCUUGCGUCACAGGAUCGAACCACCUCGGUGGAUCCAUUCAAUUGAUUGUGUUUUUUCUCAUUCCAACCAGUGCACCACAACUGGUUAAAAGCUGUGGUAUGUGCUUUCCGUUUGGUAUGAAAGUGCAUAUAAACGUUCCCUAGCUGUAGCGAGUCUCCUCUGAUGACUAUGAGUAACCAAAUGUUUGACAUCCAAUAACCGAUGAUUAAUCAAUGUGCUUUAGUGGUGUCGUUAAACAAAACAAACAUUAACCUUUUUAACUACAAUCCUUUAAGGAAUCGCUUUCAUAUUUGGUAUGGAUGUUCAUCAAAUGAUGGACCACACAACUUGCCUUAUAAACUUGACCCCAGGACAAGGACAAUGUCACAGUCACGGUUAUUCAGAAUACUGGAAAUGGUUGAAAUUUUUCCAAUUGCUCCUGAAUCCUUAAUGAAUGGCUUUCAUAUUUGGUUGAAAUUUUCACAGAGUUAUAAAUAGUCUUUUAAUUGCACACUGCCACUCACAGAAAUGUAACAAAAAGAGGCAUUUUUAUGUAUUUAUUUUGAAGUCUUUUAAAGCUGUUAGGCAAACUAUUGUUAUUAUGUCUUACAGAGAGUGAAGAUGCCCUAUUAUCAUGUGGUUAUUUCUGGUACAGCAUUUGGCAUUGCAGGGUAAAAUUAGUCACACAAAUUAUUUAUUAUACUGCAAUACACUUCAUACUAAUCGAACAAAAUCAUUCUAAUAGCAAACAUGUUUAUUCCAACUUGUUCGUGUUACCUUUGUGGUUUCCAAUGUUUGGCAGCCAUAUAAUUGAAGUACAUGUAGUUAAUUAAUAUCGUACAAAAAUCAAAAUUGAUAUUAGUGCUAUUUUAUGGUGUGGAGUAUAGUUUUAAUUUUUGAUCAUUUGAUAAAAACGUGGGAUAUUUUUUUUUUUAUGUACCUUAUAUCUGCCCAACGCCAUAUAACCGCAAAUGAAAUGUGUUGAGUGCAUCAUUAAAUAAAACAUUUCCUUAUAUCCGCCAUACAUUGAGUUGAUACCAGCACUCCAUGACGUGAUGAACAAAGAUUGCAGUGUUACGAAACUUUUACAAGCCUGGGUUUUGUGCCUAAUGUUAAAUGAAUAGAACAGGAAAGGAAUUCGUCAGAUCGUUGGCAAUCGGAUGGAGCAUCUGUCACAGAAAACUUUGUAGGGCUACCUCGAGGUGAGGAGAAAUAUUCAACAAAUUAUCUACUAAAGUUCAAAAAUUUCACACAAAAAAUUGUUAAAUGAAGUUAUUUCGCCAAAUUAAAAUCAGUUUUGUGAACUGUUUGUAAUAUUUGUAGUUUGCAAACUUGGUGAGUGCCAGAGCUCGCCCGCUUUGCAUUAAGUGACCUGUAUUUUGUUAAUAAGGCCUCAGUUGUGUCGUGGUUAGGCCAUCAGACAUGAGGCUGGUAGGUACUAGGUUCACAGCCCGGUACCGGCUCUCACCCAGAGCAAGUUUUAACGACCAAUGGCUAGGUGUAAGACCACUACACCCUUUUCUCUCUCACUAACAAUUAACCAUCUGUCCGGGACAGACAGCCCAGAUAGCUGAGGCGUGUGUGCCCAGGACAGUGUGCUUGAACCUUACUUGGAUAUAAGCACGGAAAUAAGUUGAUAUGAAAUUAAAUAAGGGCAGGUUGAUUAGAAACUCCAACAUGGCUGCUGUACAGUGAUCGUGAUACUGGUGUAUUGUCAUUUCUCCUGAUUCAUCAUCACUGCAGGUUUCUCUCUGACCACUACAUAAGAAUCUCAGCUGUUAUUUAAUCAAAGGUGGUUGGUGGGGGGGGGGGGGAUCUAGUAGUCAGCAGGACCAGAUGCAGGGGUUUUCGGGGGGGGGGGGGGUGCAAAUAGGGUCCUACAGUGUUCCAGAUUACAUUAACAUACCUUAUUAUAUGUGAUAAUAUAUUACAGGAAAACCUAUUCAACUAAGAUACUACAUCUGCACCCCCUAAAUCCCACGACCCCCAAAUAUGAAUUUUAUACAUUCUAGAUUUUGGAGGCACUUCAAGGGGGCGGGGAGUUGCACACUCCUUGAAUCUGUGCCUGUCAAACUUGCUACAAGCAGCCACCUGUCUAAAAAGGCCACUUGUCAAAUUCAUCUUAUAUAUUAACCUUUAAUAAGUGUACCUUGUAUCAUGACCACCUAUCUAUAAUGGGCAUUUUAGAAAUAUAUAGCUUUGUGGGUCUCCUGGUUAGCUUUUGUGUGGACCCCAUCUAAGCCAGGUUUUUCUCUGGCUGCUUCAAUUCGAAUUUGACUGUAUAUUGUUAUGCAAAUAGUUAUUUUAUGUUUGUACAUAAAAGACCAAAAUAUCAAAUCACUAUCCACGUUUGCUUGUCUUUGUAAUGUACAUGUCUUCUGUAUAUACUGUACAUAGAUGUCAUUUGUAUUUUCAAAGUAUAUUUCUCAAAAUAUAUGUAUUUAUUCAAAGUGGACAAACAUACACACACACAAAAUGUCAUUGUCCAAAACUUUUUGUACACUUUUUAUUUCAUUCUGUAUCCUUCUCUCAUUGACAAACUAGGCUCUGGUUUUCGUCUCGUCUCAAUACAGUCUUAAGGCAAGAAAUAAUUAUUACUUUUACGACGGUGGCAACUUUUUAUAUUCCUCCGAUAUUAAGUUUUCACAUUUAGCAUGAUUUAGGUGGAAUUCUCACAGACUACAAGUAUAAGUCGUACAUCAGUAAAACAGGGUUUGUAGUUCUAUAUACGAAUGUUCAUCUCGGUGAAUAUCAACAAAAACAUUUAUUUAUUGAAGUAAACAAAUAUAUCAGGGGUCGAAAUUGUCUGAACUGUCUGCCGAAUAUUCGGUCUGGCAGGCUAAAAAUUUUGCUGGCCUGAAUGAAAACCUGCCAAACCAAACAAUAUUGACUCUGGCUAAUGUGUGAAUAUAAAUGUCAAAUAAUUCUGCUCUGAAGGGACGACAGGCAAGCAAAUUUCCCAGGCUGUGGCGAUGUUAACUGGGGCAAAAAAAACGGUUUGGACGCAGAAAAAACCAGUUUGGAUGGUAGUAUUUUAACCACUGUAUAUAUACAUGUACAUAUAAUUUUGAAUGUUAUAUUGCAAAUUAUUUCUCUAUUCACCAAAUAGUUUAUGGUAGGUGAGACAUUGAUUUUCAGUUUUGUUUUUUGUUAGGUGAGAAUAAUGUCAUUUUCACACGUCUCUGUUUUUAGUAUUUAUGAAGCAUUCUGUUCAAGGGAGAUUAUCUAUCAUUAUGCUGACUGUUUAUCACACGAUUUCAAAAAAAUUGUAUUAAUUUUUAAUUUUAUAUUUAAAUUUUAUUUAUUUUUUGUAUUGUCAGUACGUUUACGGAAAACUAAAUUGUCAAUACUUUUGCAGAAAAACUAAUGUGUAUUUCAUUUCAGUUAAUUGACCGUUUGUCAUCACGUGUUGCAGGGUGUUAUCUGGAUUGUCUCCCCUGAUUUGUACAUUAGUAGGCUUGCACUACCUGUAUUGUGAUAUUACUUACAUUUUUUUAUAUGAGAUUUUAAGUGCAAUCAUCUUUACAAGCUAAAACUUGUAAUCCACUGACUCGCUGUGCAAACCUCCAUGUAUCUCGUGCAGCCAGUGGUUUCUCUGUUGGGGGACGGGUGUUUGUUGUAUCUCUCGUUUUUAAACAACUCUUUUUAUGUCUUCCAUUUGAAUUGGUUUCUUUGAUGAUUUUUAACAACCAGCCACCAAGAUACUCUUGGUUCUGUUCACCUACACCAGUAAACUGAACUUUAGACACUGUCAUCUAUCUGUCAUUUAUCUGUCGUUUAUCGGUUUCUCCUGCUAGAGGCCUUUCAUAAUUGUUCCAUUAUAAUAAUAAUAAUAAUAAAUUCUUUAUUUAGUGAGGGUAACACAGUUAGCAAAAGCUAAUCUUCCCUGAGGCCCUCAGGUACAAACAAUACAGAAUUACAAUGCAUACAUUUAUGAACAAAUAGAAAAUACAUAUAUGGCAAUAAACAUAUGUACAAAUGAUAUUAUUUUAGAAAAUAUUUCUUGAGUCUAUAUUUAAAAACAGCAGUAUUUGGCGAUGAUCGGAUAGCACCGAUCAUCAUUAUUACCACCUUGGAGACUGAACUCUGGGAUGAGGGGGUACUAUUUUAAAAAGAAAACAAUAUACAUCAUUAAAACAAAUUGUUCCUUGCUAAAGUAUCAUUUUCUUUACGGUAUUGAAAUGUGACAGUGACCAAGGUGGGGGGAGGGGGGGGGGGCUAUACUGGUAUAUUAAUUUGAUUUACAAGUGGGGGUGUAAAUGCAUUGUCUUCAAUAGUGGGGGGAGACGAAGGACCUUUAAUCCCUUCCCUACCGCUUCCAGCGCUAAUGAUUUUUUUUUUCAUGUAAACUUUUAGAAAAAUUAUGAACAGCCUCUUAGCAGAUACCUAUUAUUAUAAUUAUCAUACAUUUGUAUCAACAAAAACUUGCUGUUGCGUUCUCAAGAUUUGUUCCUAGUCAUUUAUGUUGUCUGAUUCAAGGAGACUUCAUGGUGUUUCAAGAUGAAAUACAGAUGGUAUGUCACAUCGACACUAAUUCAGUACGACGCCAUCUACCUGUGAAUACACCAGUACUGGCAAGACAAUUAUCUGAACGUGUCAGUUAAAUGAAUACAGAUUAUGUUUACUAUUGAUCAGCAUUGCAGAUGUCUGCAAGGUUUGCACUGCAUUCUGGGACAGUAUAUGAUUAAAAAGGCUAUCAAGUUUCAAACUAAUAUAAAUAUUUCCUAUUCGUAAAGGAAAAUAUAAUUUUAAAAAUCCAUUAAUUAAAAACAUUGUCUCUUAAAAUAAACUAUUUCUUGACCGUGCUUAGUUUGAUAGGAAUAACUAGGAUGUAAUCCUGUGUGCAUCCCAGUGCUUUCAUUUAUGCAAGAAGAAUGUGCCAGUGCAUAAUACACGUUUCUCGACAAACUGCCUUGUGCACCUCCAUUGCCAUCGGUACACAGUGCCACUAGUAGGCUAUAUUUAACCUUUAAACCAUUGGCUCUAAUAAUUGUUACAAGCUAUUCCGCAAACGACCAUAAGAUGGCAAGGGAUGACUUUUUCUCAAUACUGGAUACUCCAGGAAUAAAGUAAUUUGGGAUUAUGAGUAAGAACAAAUAUUUCUUAAAGAUUCUCCCAUCUAUAAAAUAAUUACUCGUUUGCCAAUCCCACCCAUGGUAUGGUCAUUUGUGGAAUAGGUUUAAAUCACAGCAUCUCUGAAGUGGUUGACAUUAAUAGUAAGAGAUCAUGAACUGAUUACACAGUUAAACGAACCCAGCUUUUUGUACCAUAUAGCAUUGCAUUGCACAACCAGUCUGCUUGUGGUUGUGCGAGUCUAUUACACACAAACAAAAAUAUUUGAAAUAAAUGCCUUUUAUGAUUGUA